GACAGUGUAGCAUAGUGGUUUGAGUGCUGGACCAUGACUUUAGAGACCCAGGGUUUGAUUCUCUGCUUGGCCA